rnacentral:misc_RNA from 2 species
AACGCAUAUUGCGCUCUCUGGUAUUCCGGAGAGCAUGCUUGUUUGAGUAUCAGUAAACACCUCAACUUCCAUAUCUUUUUUGAAAUGGGAGUUGGACUUGAGUGAUCCCAACGCUUUUCCUCACCGAAAAGUGGCGGGUUACUUGAAAUGCAGGUGCAGCUGGACUUUUCUCUGAGCUAUAAGCAUAUCUAUUUAGUCUGCCUAAAAAACAGAUUAUUACCUUUGCUGCAGCUAACAUAAAGGAGAUUAGUUCUUGUGCUGACUGAUGCAGGAUUCACAAAGACAGGCUUCGGCCGACUUUGUAAACUCGAUCUCAAAUCAAGUAAGACUACCCGCUGAACUUAA